GACGACCGGCCGGACACGCCACGCAGUGCGCGAGCCCGGCCCACAAGUGGAGGCUCCGAUCUCCCACCUGACCGUCCCCCGGGACGGUGGGUCACCCCGGUCAGGCGGUCACCAUCGUUCCGUACGGACGAUGGAGUCGCCCGAAAGCGCGCCCCGCGGCUCGUCGCGGCGGUGCUCCGGUAGUGCCUUUGGAGCCCCGCCUGUGAUCGUCCGGGGCAUUUUUU
rnacentral:ncRNA from 1 species